UGUUGCCUCGGCGGGGUCACGCCCCGGGUGCGUCGCAGCCCCGGAACCAGGCGCCCGCCGGAGGAACCAACCAAACUCUUUCUGUACUCCCCUCGCGGACGUAUUUCUUACAGCUCUGAGCAAAAAUUCAAAAUGAAUCAAAACUUUCAACAACGGAUCUCUUGGUUCUGGCAUCGAUCAAGAACGCAGCGAAAUGCGAUAAGUAAUGUGAAUUGCAGAAUUCAGUGAAUCAUCGAAUCUUUGAACGCACAUUGCGCCCGCCAGUAUUCUGGCGGGCAUGCCUGUCCGAGCGUCAUUUCAACCCUCGAACCCCUCCGGGGGAUCGGCGUUGGGGAUCGGGACCCCUCACACGGGUGCCGGCCCCGAAAUACAGUGGCGGUCUCGCCGCAGCCUCUCCUGCGCAGUAGUUUGCACAACUCGCACCGGGAGCGCGGCGCGUCCACGUCCGUAAAACACCCAACUUUCAGAAAUGUUGACCUCGGAUCAGGUAGGAAUACCCGCUGUACUUUAGCAUAUCAAUAUGCCGGAGGA
rnacentral:rRNA from 1 species